UACGUAGGGGGCAAGCGUUGUCCGGAUUUAUUGGGCGUAAAGCGCACGCAGGCGGUCUCUUAAGUUUUGAGUGACAGGUGGUGGCUCAACUACCACAGGCCUUGGAAAACUGGGAGACUUGAGGACUUCAGAGGGAUGCGGAAUUCCAGGUGGAGCGGUGAAAUGCGUAGAUAUGCGGAGGAACACCGAUGGCGAAGGCAAUCCCCUGGGCCUGCACUGACGCUCAUGCACGAAAGCGUGGGGAGCAAACAGG
rnacentral:rRNA from 1 species